CCUACGGGGGGCAGCAGUGGGGAAUAUUGGACAAUGGGCGAAAGCCUGAUCCAGCCAUGCCGCGUGUGUGAAGAAGGCCUUCGGGUUGUAAAGCACUUUCAGUGGGGAAGAAAGCCUUGGGGCUAAUACCCUCGAGGAAGGACAUCACCCACAGAAGAAGCACCGGCUAACUCCGUGCCAGCAGCCGCGGUAAUACGGAGGGUGCGAGCGUUAAUCGGAAUUACUGGGCGUAAAGCGCGCGUAGGCGGUCUGAUAAGCCGGUUGUGAAAGCCCCGGGCUCAACCUGGGAACGGCAUCCGGAACUGUCAGGCUAGAGUGCAGGAGAGGAAGGUAGAAUUCCCGGUGUAGCGGUGAAAUGCGUAGAGAUCGGGAGGAAUACCAGUUGCGAAGGCGGCCUUCUGGACUGACACUGACGCUGAGGUGCGAAAGCGUGGGUAGCAAACAGGAUUAGAUACCCUAGUAGUC
rnacentral:rRNA from 1 species